GUCGGGAUAGCUCAGCUGGUAGAGCAGAGGACUGAAAAUCCUCCUGUCACCAGUUCAUAUA
rnacentral:tRNA from 1 species